GCCAGGGUGCUCUAGGAACAGACCCAGUGGCUUUAUUUGUUAAAAUCCUGGGUGUUAUGCCUCAAAUCAAUGAUUUCUGUUCGCAGAGAAGUCUUCCCAGGAAGACACAGCCUAAGGCAGCCUUGAAAAUGAGGGCUCCUUCUCCUCGGAGCCUUCCUGUUCCAUUUCCAGAUGUUCCCAUUUGGAAAUCUUCCCUUAUCUGUCUCUUUAAGUGCCAGCACUCAGGCAGGGCCCAGCCCCACGACAGCCACCCCAGGCUUCCUGCCAAAGGAUUUCACAGUAUCAGGACUAAGGCUCCAGCCUGUCAGAUCGCACAAGUCCUUUCAAGUUGUAUAUCAUAGUUGCAGGUCCUUCUAGUUGUGGGACGUGGGACGCCGCCUCAACGUGGCCUGACAAGCGGUGCCAUGUCCACGCCCAGGAUCCAAACCCUGGGCCGCCGCAGCGGAGCGCGCGAACUUAACCACUCAGCCAUGGAGCCGGCCCCAGUUAUUCCUCAUAGGAGCACUGCGAAGGAAAUCUUAUCAACCCCACUUGACAGAUGAAGAAACAGAGGCUCAGAAACUACAAGCAACCCACUUGGAUUUACCCACCCAGUCAGUCGGCAGAGUCAGGAUUGGAACCCAGAUCUAUGUGCUUCCAAAACCUACACUGUUUCCUAUAGGCUAUGAUGUCCCCAGUUCAGAAUUUCAACUUCGACAAAACAACUUUGAUCUGGAGAGUCCCACCCCUCGGUAUUGCCUCCAGGAAUCUCACGAGUGUAUCCACUCUGUAAACAUCGUGGUGACGGUGCUCCUGAAGGGCCAGCAUCCAUUUCCAGAACAUCUAACAUGUGCCAUCCCCUAGAUGCGUUACUUAAAUUAUUUCACAUCUUUAUGCUGCUCUGCAAGUAGGUAUUAUUCUCCUCAUUAUGCAGAUAAUGGACACAGAGUCUCAGAGCGGGUAAAGGAUUUGCCCAAGGUCACACAGCCAAUGUGGAAGAGAGAGCAUUCUAGCUGGGUCUGUCUGAUUCCACCGCCCUGCUCCAGGCUGUGCUGCUCUGUAUCAGGAAUCCACUCGUUUCAAGGGGCAGUGGAGCUUUCCCAGGGGGUGUAGACAAUAGCUUCUUACAUUUUUCCUAGCCCUUUGCAAAGUGAUUUCACCAUCACGUGGCUACCUAUCAGAGGCCCUGAGGAAGUUUAAUUUUAAAAAAUAAAGUCGGGGUUAGGGUGGGGGGUGAAUAGGCAGAGCACAGAGCAUUUUUAGGUCAGUGAGACUACUCUGUAUCUUAAAAUGAUGGAUAUAUGUCAUUAUAUAUUUAUCCAA
rnacentral:lncRNA from 1 species